rnacentral:rRNA from 1 species
GAAUUCGCCCUUAGAGUUUGAUCAUGGCUCAGGGUGAACGCUAGCGGCGGGCCUAACACAUGCAAGUCGUGCGGAGGGGGCAACCCCUCAGCGGCGGACGGGUGCGUAACACGUAGGUAACCUGCCCCCAGGAGGGGGAUAACCCUGGGAAACCAGGGCUAAUACCCCAUAAAGCAAGGGCACCGCAUGGUGGGCUUGCUAAAGCCGAAAGGCGCCUGGGGAGGGGCCUGCGGCCGAUUA